rnacentral:tRNA from 1 species
GUGGGGAUGUGGCUGAAGCGGUACCGUGCUCGCCUGGCACGCGUGCGGCCCGGGUUCGAUCCUCAGCACCACA